CCUACGGGGGGCAGCAGUGGGGAAUAUUGCACAAUGGGGGAAACCCUGAUGCAGCGACGCCGCGUGAAGGAAGAAGUAUUUCGGUAUGUAAACUUCUAUCAGCAGGGAAGAAAAUGACGGUACCUGACUAAGAAGCCCCGGCUAACUACGUGCCAGCAGCCGCGGUAAUACGUAGGGGGCAAGCGUUAUCCGGAUUUACUGGGUGUAAAGGGAGCGUAGGCGGUUUAGCAAGUCAGAAGUGAAAGCCCGGGGCUCAACUCCGGGACUGCUUUUGAAACUGUUGAACUAGAGUGCAGGAGAGGUAAGUGGAAUUCCUAGUGUAGCGGUGAAAUGCGUAGAUAUUAGGAGGAACACCAGUGGCGAAGGCGGCUUACUGGACUGUAAAUGACGCUGAGGCUCGAAAGCGUGGGGAGCAAACAGGAUUAGAUACCCUUGUAGUC
rnacentral:rRNA from 1 species